AGUGAACGCUGGCGGUAGGCCUAACACAUGCAAGUCGAACGGCAGCACAGUAAGAGCUUGCUCUUACGGGUGGCGAGUGGCGGACGGGUGAGGAAUUCAUCGGAAUCUACUUUUUCGUGGGGGAUAACGUAGGGAAACUUACGCUAAUACCGCAUACGACCUACGGGUGAAAGCAGGGGAUCUUCGGACCUUGCGCGAUUGAAUGAGCCGAUGUCGGAUUAGCUAGUUGGCGGGGUAAAGGCCCACCAAGGCGACGAUCCGUAGCUGGUCUGAGAGGAUGAUCAGCCACACUGGAACUGAGACACGGUCCAGACUCCUACGGGAGGUAGCAGUGGGGAAUAUUGGACAAUGGGCGCAAGCCUGAUCCAGCCAUACCGCGUGGGUGAAGAAGGCCUUCGGGUUGUAAAGCCCUUUUGUUGGGAAAGAAAAGCAGCAGGUUAAUACCCCGCUGUUCUGACGGUACCCAAAGAAUAAGCACCGGCUAACUUCGUG
rnacentral:rRNA from 1 species